rnacentral:rRNA from 1 species
UACGUAGGGCGCAAGCGUUAUCCGGAAUUAUUGGGCGUAAAGAGCUCGUAGGCGGUUCGUCGCGUCGGCUGUGAAAUCCCGAGGCUCAACCUCGGGUCUGCAGUCGAUACGGGCGGACUGGAGUACUGCAGGGGAGACUGGAAUUCCUGGUGUAGCGGUGAAAUGCGCAGAUAUCAGGAGGAACACCGGUGGCGAAGGCGGGUCUCUGGGCAGAAACUGACGCUGAGGCGCGAAAGCUAGGGGAGCAAACAGG